UUUGUUGCACCAGAAGCAGGUAGUCUAACCGAAAGGAGGGCGCUUGCCACGGUGUGGCCGAUGACUGGGGUGAAGUCGUAACAAGGUAGCCGUAGGUGAACCUGCAGAAGGAUCA
rnacentral:rRNA from 1 species